UACGUAGGGGGCAAGCGUUGUCCGGAUUUAUUGGGCGUAAAGAGCUCGUAGGUGGUUCGGUAAGUCGGAUGUGAAAUCUCCAGGCUCAACCUGGAGGGGUCAUUCGAUACUGCCGUGACUAGAGUUCGGUAGGGGAGUGUGGAAUUCCUGGUGGAGCGGUGAAAUGCGCAGAUAUCAGGAGGAACACCCGUAGCGAAGGCGGCACUCUGGGCCGAUACUGACACUGAGGAGCGAAAGCAUGGGGAGCGAACAGG
rnacentral:rRNA from 1 species